rnacentral:rRNA from 1 species
UGGGGAAUUUUCCGCAAUGGGCGAAAGCCUGACGGAGCAAUGCCGCGUGGAGGUGGAAGGCCUACGGGUCGUCAACUUCUUUUCUCGGGGAAGAAACAAUGACGGUAUCUGAGGAAUAAGCAUCGGCUAACUCUGUGCCAG